rnacentral:rRNA from 1 species
CGCGUAGGCGGUGUUUUAAGUGAGAUGUGCAAUCCCCGAGCUUAACUUGGGAACUGCAUCUCAGACUGGAACGCUAGAGUGCUGGAGAGGGUGGUAGAAUUCCACGUGUAGCGGUGAAAUGCGUAGAGAUGUGGAGGAAUACCAGUGGCGAAGGCGGCCACCUGGACAGUAACUGACGCUGAGGCGCGAAAGUGUGGGUAGCAAACAGGAUUAGAUACCCUGGUAGUCCACGCUGUAAACGAUGAACACUUGGUGUGGUGGGAGUUGACCCCUGCCGUGCCGUAGCUAACGCGAUAAGUGUUCCGCCUGGGGAGUACGGUCGCAAGGCUGAA